rnacentral:rRNA from 1 species
UACAGGGGGUGCAAACGUUGCUCGGAAUCAUUGGGCGUAAAGCGCACGUAGGCGGUUCGUUAUGUCGGAUGUGAAAGCCCUUGGCUUAACCGAGGAAGUGCAUCCGAAACUGGCGAGCUAGAGUACGAAAGAGGAUCGCGGAAUUCCCGGUGUAGAGGUGAAAUGCGUAGAUAUCUGGAGGAACACCGGUGGCGAAGGCGGCAUCCUGGACCGACACUGACACUGAGGAGCGAAAGCCAGGGGAGCAAACGGG